UCAUGGCAGCCGGAGCCAGUGUUCAGGAUCCUAGGAAGGAGCGAGGAAGAGUCCACCCAGGAGUGUGGCCCAAGUGCCUGGGAGGGGAGCAAGCAGGAGUUCGAGGCCUCCUGGGGUCGCCGACACACAUGGCAGCUGGGGUGCCUUCUGCUCUCUGGACUGGGCCCUGAGACUCACGGUUUUAGGGAUGCAACACUGAAGUCAGAGGGUAACAACACCAUGGUGUGAUAGAGGAGAGACGUGGAGGCUCCAGGAAGGUGUGUGGGGAGGGUGGCACAGCCACCCUCGAGAGGAAACUGACAGACCAUUCUCUGGAGAAGCUGCACCUGCCCCAAAGCCGCUCGCUUGCUCGCCAGACACCUGGAGGCUUCAGCACCCAGGAGAAUGCAAGGACAGAUGUGUGAUCAACCUGGGCCAGGGCCGCCACCCUCCACAGGGCACAGGGAUGCUGGGGCCGGGCUGGUCUGGUGUCCCAGAGCCACAGGCUUCCCAGGGCCAUUCACGCUCUGACAGCAGGCAUCUCUGGGGCACCUACUGGGAGGAGGGCUGGGUGGGCCUCUCCAUCCCCUCUCAUUUGUAGGACAGCAGAUGGGAAAUCCCUGAUAAUGGCUGAGGCUGACUCUUCAGCCAGCCUGGUAGGGUGGGGCUCUGAGCCAGACGUAACUUAAAGUAGGAAAAUAAAGUAAUUCCACGCUCUGAG
rnacentral:lncRNA from 1 species